GACGUAGGGCGCGAGCGUUGUCCGGAUUUAUUGGGCGUAAAGAUCUCGUAGGCGGCUCGUUGCGUCGGCUGUGAAAACCCGCAGCUCAACUGUGGGCUUGCAGCCGAUACGGGCGGGCUGGGAUUCGGUAGGGGAGACUGGAAUUCCUGGUGUAGCGGUGAAAUGCGCAGAUAUCAGGAGGAACACCGGUGGCGAAGGCGGGUCUCUGGGCCGAUACUGACGCUGAGUAGCGAAAGCGUGGGGAGCGAACAGG
rnacentral:rRNA from 1 species